rnacentral:rRNA from 1 species
UACGGAGGAUCCAAGCGUUAUCCGGAUUUAUUGGGCGUAAAGAGCGUGUAGGCGGCCAGGUAGGUCUGCUGUGAAAACUCGAGGCUUAACCUCGAGAUGUCGGCGGAAACCAUCUGGCUAGAGUCCGGAAGAGGAGAAUGGAAUUCCCGGUGUAGCGGUGAAAUGCGCAGAUAUCGGGAAGAACACCCGUGGCGAAGGCGGAUCUCUGGGCCGAUACUGACGCUGAGGAGCGAAAGCGUGGGGAGCGAACAGG